rnacentral:hammerhead_ribozyme from 1 species
AUCCAACUAAUGAGUUCCAAAAUAGGACGAAAUGUGCGUCAAACUGGAU